GAGAGGCUGAGGGAUCCUCAGCGCCAAGGGAGUCCGGCGCUGGAGAAAGGUAAGUGCUGAAGACACACACACACUUACAGGCGCAUACACACUAGCUAACAGACACACACAUUUACUGACAGAGACACAGUCAGCGACAGACAUACAUACACACUCACUUACAAAACAUACACUCUCAUUGACAAACACACACUCACUAACAGACAUCAAACAGACUCACUAACACACACACACUCAGUAAGACACACACAGUAACACACUCACUGACACUCACUAGCAGACACACACACUAACACACUAACACUCACACUAACACUCACUAGCAGACACACUAACACUCACUCUAACACUCUCACACACUAACACUCACUCACACUAACACACACUAACACUCACCCUAACACUCACUAGCAGACACACUAACACUCACACACACUAACACUCACUCACACUAACACACACACAUGAUUUUAAAAAAAAUGUUUUUAAUGUAAUCCCCCCAGCCUCCUUACCUUUUGGAGUGCUGGGGGGAUUCCCUGGGGUCCAGUGGUGCUGCUGGGCUCCUGGGCGGGCAGGUGGCCGGUCGGGCGGGCGCGCGAGGGAGC